rnacentral:rRNA from 1 species
GACGAACGCUGGCGGCGUGCCUAACACAUGCAAGUCGAGCGGUAGAUAAAAGCUUGCUUUUACUAUAGCGGCGGACGGGUGAGUAACACNUNGGGCAACCUACCUCANAGUGGGGGAUACCUCCCGANAGGGAGAUUAAUACCGCAUAACANCNUGAUGUCACAUGACUUAUGAUCAAAGGANUAUCCGCUNUGAGAUGGGCCCGCGGCGCAUUANCUANUUGGGUGAGGUAACNGCCACCAAGGCAACGAUGCGUAACCGACCUGAUANGGUGAUCGGCCACUCGGAACUGAAAUACGGCCGGAANC